rnacentral:rRNA from 1 species
UACGGGGGGGGGCAAGCGUUGUUCGGAAUUACUGGGCGUAAAGGGCUCGUAGGUGGCCAACUAAGUCGGACGUGAAAUCCCUCAGCUUAACUGGGGGAACUGCGUCCGAUACUGGAUGGCUCGAGUUUGGGAGAGGGAUGCGGGAUUCCAGGUGUAGCGGUGAAAUGCGUAGAUAUUGGGAGGAACACCAGUGGCGAAGGCGGCUACCUGGACCGGUUCUGACGCUGAUGCGCGAAAAGCGUGGGUAGCAAACAGG